rnacentral:rRNA from 1 species
GACAGAGGAUGCAAGCGUUAUCCGGAAUGAUUGGGCGUAAAGCGUCUGUAGGUGGCUUUUAAGUCCGCCGUCAAUCCCAGGCUCAACCCUGGACAGGCGGUGGAAACUACCAAGCUGGAGUACGGUAGGGCAGAGGGAAUUUCCGGUGGAGCGGUGAAUGCGUAGAGAUCGGAAAGAACACCAACGGCGAAGCACUCUGCUGGGCCGACACUGACACUGAGAGACGAAAGCUAGGGAGCGAAU